UGUCAAGAUAAUUACGAAUUUCAUUGGCUCAUUUUCGGCCCAAAUAUUCUAUAAGAUAUCUUUUUGCGGAUUCUAGAAGGUAUGUUUCUUGUUAAAAAUUGGAUCAACAAUUCUCCCCGGUAAGAGUAAAACAUGCACUCAUUUGUUAUUUGACCUUACACAAAACGUGUCAGUAUUAUCAAACCAAACUAAAAUGUUACAUAUAAAAGAAGGUUACACAGCCCUUAUACGAACAUUAAUUUCACAAUAAUUACGAAAUGAGGUUGGUGUAUUUAAUGUUCGUGGUAUUUACAGCAUUAUUUUACACGCUGAGUGUGUCAUCUCACUGCCUUAGGAAACACCGGCAUGGUUUAAAAUCUUGCGAGUUAGACGACGUAUACUGUGGUUCUUGGAGAAGAAAACGUGGAUGGAAGGAUUGGUUUAGGCCUAAGCGACAUAAUACAUGUAGGCAUCGUGGGUUUUGGAAAAAGGAACCAUACAGAUUUUGGGGUAAAAGAAUUCAUGGGCAUGGAGCAUGUGAUUGCAGAGGGCAUAAGCGCUGUUUUUGUUGAUAAGUGAAAGACUGAAAUGUUAUUUGCUGUGUAUUUGAGGAUUAAAAGUUCUGUCUAAACGUUA